UUUUUAAACAAAACACUGAACCUUUUUAAUCACCGUCUUAAGUGUCUUAUGUGGACGAAUCAACCUUACACGUGAACCAUAAUGUUCAGUUGCCUGUGUUACAUAUUUUUUCUAAGCUUUAAUUUGGUGAUCUGUUCUCAUAUUUGAAUUCUUCACAUUUCAUUAUAGUUGUUUCAGCAUCCACACUUGAUUCCUUUGUUUGUGAAAGCUUAUGGUGAGGUUAUCAUAUUCUUCCAGUGCUGAUGUUUUUGUGAGUUUGUGUAACGUUUUACUCUGUGGUUUAACAUACAAAAUUCUGGAGUAACUCUUCCCUUCCCAAGCGGGCUAAGAGAUUUUGAUGUCUAGAAUGCGUUCAUAAAAUGGACAAGAGCACAGAGCCAAUAGUUUUCAUUUGGUGAUCUCUAUGAGCAAUGAAGUUUCGAUGGAAUGCCUUGAUAAAAUGGACCAAGAACAUGGAGCGUAAAGUUUUAAUUUGGUGAUCUCUAGUAAAUUCAUUUUGUUUCCAUAUAGUUUUUUUGAUAUAUCUUGUCAAACUAUUGAAAAUAAAAGAAUAUCAAAAUAUCCGUUUAUCCGUUUAUACAUUGCAGGUAGCUGAUUUCUGGAUAUCUGGAACAAUUUAAUAUUAUAAUAAAAACGAUGAUAGCUACAGAUGCAUACUCAAAUUUCAUUGACCAUUCGUUCUUUCUGAUUUUUAUUUUUGGGCUUUGAUUACAUUACACUCAAAUUGAACCGUGAACUUUUUUUUCUGCAGCAUGGUUUAUCAAAAUAAAAAAAAUGUUGAUCUUUCAUCAAGGCAUGGAGACCUCAAGUUUUGAUUUGCUUCUCUCUUUUUUAAUUCUUUUAGUUUUCAAUAACUCCAUCGCUUUUGAAUGCAUAUUUUCUUGAUAUUUUAUUUCCUUCGAUGUUGCAGGGAGGUAAUUUGUGAACACUGAUUCCUUCUGUUACUGGUUCUAUCUUUCUAUUGUUUGAUCUUCAUAUCUUUCUGUUGUUUGAUCUUCAUGUUUUGUAUUCUUAUUUUUUUCUGGUCUUUUGAUUUUGUUCUGGCUUAGACCGCCAUACAUGUGAAUUGAAAUAUGACACGCUGUUUUCUGCAGUGUAGUUUGUUUUGAAACAAUAACAUUCUAAGUAGCAUCAAGCCUCAGGUUUAUUUUGCUACCAUGUACUUGGGUUGUGAACUAUUUUUAUUUUAAUUUCUAUUCUUAUUGUCUAGUCGAUUUACUUCUUUGUUCUAUGUUUGACUUUUUUUAUCUGAAUUCUGACAGUGCAAAAGUUUACACGAUUCUAUGUUUGUCUGAUGAUUUGGUCGUUGGAAAAGGUUUUAUAUUAUCUUCUUUUAUUGGUUUGAGUGGUUUCAAUUGUUAUUAAUGAUUUCGAUGAUGAUUGAUACAGAUGAUACUCCUAAAAAGAUAUCCUUUUGGUUACAGUGGUCCGGGACUCCUCUGUGUAGGAGGAAGCCAAAAUUGUGUCACACAUCAUGUGCAGGCUUUAAUUGGGUUAUCUCUUCUAAGACUCUUUAUAUUUCAGUCUACGUUGGAUACUUAGCAUCUACUUUUGUCAGUUUCAUUUAGUUUUCUUUGUGGGUGAAACAGGAGAUAAAUGUGUCGGGUGCCGGUGGAACCUGAGGCAGACAAAGGUUCUCAUACUUUUUUUGUGCUUUAGGAAUAUCGGUAUUACAUUUUCAAAACAACGCAGGCAGAUACUGCACGAACGAGUAGCUAAUCUAUGGCCUCCAGGUGAUGCUGUAGUGGGGGGAGGGAAAUCAAUGAAAGAGAACGGUGCAGCAGGUUAAGGAAGGAACCGAACAUCACUUCUUGAUAUUGGAAAUGUGGUCACUCUAAAAGGUGUUGAAGUCAAGCCAAAUCGCCCUGUCACAAGGUUAGUGAUGAUGACCCCCUAUUUGAUUUUGAUGAUUCUUUAGUUGUGUUUGUCACAACUACUUGCCAAUGCUCAAGCAGCAGCAGUUAAUGAGAAUAACAAGGUUCUCUUAUAUUAUUUGUUGAAUCUUUUUCUUUUAAUUGAUUUAAUUUAAU